CAAGUCGAGCGAAUCUGAGGGAGCUUGCUCCCAAAGGUUAGCGGCGGACGGGUGAGUAACACGUGGGCAACCUGCCUGUAAGACUGGGAUAACUUCGGGAAACCGGAGCUAAUACCGGAUAAUUCUUACCAACACAUGUUUGGUAAGCUAAAAGACGGCGCAAGCUGUCACUUACAGAUGGGCCCGCGGCGCAUUAGCUAGUUGGUAAGGUAAUGGCUUACCAAGGCAACGAUGCGUAGCCGACCUGAGAGGGUGAUCGGCCACACUGGGACUGAGACACGGCCCAGACUCCUACGGGAGGCAGCAGCAGGGAAUCUUCCGCAAUGGACGAAAGUCUGACGGAGCAACGCCGCGUGAGUGAUGAAGGUUUUCGGAUCGUAAAACUCUGUUGUUAGGGAAGAACAAGUACGAGAGUAACUGCUCGUACCUUGACGGUACCUAACCAGAAAGCCACGGCUAACUACGUGCCAGCAGCCGCGGUAAUACGUAGGUGGCAAGCGUUGUCCGGAAUUAUUGGGCGUAAAGCGCGCGCAGGCGGUCCUUUAAGUCUGAUGUGAAAGCCCACGGCUCAACCGUGGAGGGUCAUUGGAAACUGGGGGACUUGAGUGCAGGAGAGAAGAGUGGAAUUCCACGUGUAGCGGUGAAUUGCGUAGAGAUGUGGAGGAACACCAGUGGCGAAGGCGACUCUUUGGCCUGUAACUGACGCUAAGGCGCGAAAGCGUGGGGAGCAAACAGGAUUAGAUACCCCUGGUAGUCCACGCCGUAAACGAUGAGUGCUAAGUGUUAGAGGGUUUCCGCCUUUAGUGCUGAAGUAACGCAUUAGCCCUCCGCCUGGGGAGUACGGCCGCAGGCUGAACUCAAGGAAUUGACGGGACCCGCACAAGCGGUGGA
rnacentral:rRNA from 1 species